rnacentral:lncRNA from 1 species
AAAGUCCCUGCCCUCGGAGCUUGGGGAAGCUGCAGCCCAUCCCCCUGCAGGCCGACGAAACAGCCUCACGGCCAGCGAUUCUGACGGCAACUUCCGGAAAGCAAUGUGGUCCGACCCUUCCAUUCCAGUUCCAGUGAGGCAUAUUCAGUUUAACCCAGGGAAAGCUCAUAGAACCGACAAUCUGCCCAGGACUAAAGCCUCUGAACACCAGACAGAGAUAAGAAAAGCUAAUCCUCCACAUUCAGAGAUGGCAAACUCCACAGAAGCACAGAAGCCCCAAAAUACCAAGAAAAAUAAGAAGAAAGGGGCGACUUUGGACACAUUCUAUGGAGCCAAAAUACAAAAUACAGAGCAGAUAGAAGAUAAUAUACAAGAAAAUGCUCCAAAACCUUCCAAAGGAAAUGGAAACUCUCCACAAACCUAUGAAGAAUUUGAAUCAGAAAUGACCAAAAAGAUGGAAGCCUUCUGGGAGGAAAAGUUGGAAAUAAUGCAAAAGAAAUUCACGCAUCUACAAAACCGGUAUGAUGAAACUGAAAAGGAAAACCAUGCUUUAAAGGCCAGAAUCAGGCAGCUGGAAGACAACGAUCAUGUAAAAGAGCAAGAAUUAAUAAAGCAAAGCCAAAAUACCAAGAAAUUAGAAGAGAACAUAAAAUAUCUCACCGACAAGGUGAUAGAUCUGGAAAAUAGAGGGAGAAGGGAUAAUUUAAGAAUAAUUGGACUCCCAGAAAAGCCAGAAAUAAACACCAAACUGGACAUGGUGAUACAAGAUAUAAUCAAAGAAAAUUGCCCAGAGAUUCUAGAACAAGGGGGCAAUACAGCCACUGACAGAGCUCACAGAACACCUUCUACACUAAACCCCCAAAAGACAACUCCCAGGAAUGUAAUUGCCAAAUUCCAAAGCUAUCAAACAAAAGGAAAAAUCCUACAGGAAGCCAGAAAAAGACAAUUUAGAUAUAAAGGAAUGCCAAUGGGUCACACAAGACCUUGCAAGUUCUACUCUGAAUGAUCGUAAGGCAUGGAACAUGAUCUUCAGAAAGGCAAGAGAGCUGGGUCUCCAACCAAGAAUCAGCUACCCAGCAAAACUGACUAUAUACUUCCAAGGGAAAGUAUGGGCAUUCAACAAAAUAGAAGACUUCCAACUUUUUGCAAAGAAAAGACCAGAGCUCUGUGGAAAGUUUGAUACCGAAAAUCAAAGAGCAGGGAAUACCCUGAAAGUAAAUAUUAAGGA